rnacentral:rRNA from 1 species
AGCAGCCGCGGUAAUUCCAGCUCCAAUAGCGUAUAUUAAAGUUGUUGCAGUUAAAAAGCUCGUAGUUGAAUUUCGGGAUUGACGUGACGGUCGUGCCUUAAGGGGUAUGAACUGUCGCCGUUGAUUUCUCACCUUCUGGAGAAGCUCGAUGUCCUUAAUUGGAUGUCUUGUGGAACCAGGACCUUUACCUUGAAAAAAUUAGAGUGUUUAAAGCAGGCAUUUUGCUCGAAUACAUUAGCAUGGAAUAAUAGAAUAGGACGGCAUGGUUCUAUUUUGUUGGUUUCUAGGAUCACCGUAAUGAUUAAUAGGGAUAGUUGGGGGCAUUAGUAUUCAAUUGUCAGAGGUGAAAUUCUUGGAUUUAUUGAAGACUAACUACUGCGAAAGCAUUUGCCAAGGAUGUUUUCAUUAAUCAAGAACGAAAGUUAGGGGAUCGAAGACGAUCAGAUACCGUCGUAGUCUUAACCAUAAACUAUGCCGACUAGGAAUC